rnacentral:lncRNA from 1 species
CUACCCCUGAAGCUUACUGUUAGUGGUCGAGUUUUUCUGGAAGUGGGCUUCCGCGAUCGCGGGGACCAACGCCCUGAGCUCUUGUGCCCAAAGGGGAUCGCCAGGUUUUUUGAUGCGGAUCGAAAGGGACUGGCCCCGGAGCCUACAACCUGACGCAGGUGGACAAGGUGGAGGAGAGAGAAUUCCUUGGCAGUAGCAUUAUGAACAAAUGCAGGGCUGAGAAACAGCAUGGUGGCCUUGACUAAGUUUAUGGCGACAGCAGUUGGGGUAACAUGUGACCUGGAUCUGAUCAUUGUGAUUCAAGUCAGCGUCAUUUAGGGUUUUCGGGAAACAUUUUUUGAAAGGGAGCAACUUGGCUGGAACACUCCAUCAAUUCUUUGCCCUGUGCAUUUUUGCCCUUCUUUCUGCCUCUCAGGAAUGCAGAGAGAAUUCCUGGAGGAACAGCAGCUAUCAUACAUCCGUGAUGAAAGCCAUGGGACAAAGGCAAUUGAGCAAGAAGACAGGAGCUGGGGACAUUCUUGACAGUAGUGCCACCUCUGGAUGAUUUACCUUGGGACCUCUUAUUAAAUGAGAUAGGACUUCUUCCUGUUUAAUCCACUGGAGUGGAAUUUUCUGUUACAGUGAAUGCAGUCCUAAUUGAUGAUAUUGGCUAAUACAUAUUAGCACCUGCUAUGUCCCAGUACAGUUUAAGCAUUUUAUCUACUAAUGUUUUAAAUUUUCUCAGUGACCUUAUGAGAUAGGCCAAAGGUUCUCAGAGUGUGGUUCCUGGACCAGCAACAUCAGCAUCACCUGGAAACUUGUUAGAAAUACAAAUUUUAGGGCCUGGCCCUAGACCCACUGAAUCAGAAACUCUAGGGGUGAGGACCUAGCAGUCUGUUUAAAAAGCCCUCCAUGCUAUUUUGAUGAAUGCCAAAGUUGGACAGCUACUGAGAUAGGGUAUUGUUAUUAUCCCCAUUUUACAGAUAAGGAAACAGCUGAAUUUAUGUCACUUGCCCAAUGUCACACAACUAGCAAGACUGACUCCUUGAAGCUCAUCACAUGUAAGAACUGCUUUAGAGCAGUGGUCUUCAAACUUUGAAAGCAUAUCCUGUUGAAAAAUUAUGUAUCCACUUCUACAUUUUUAAGUUGACAUCUAAAAAUUUCACAUCAUAAGUUUAAACAGUUGUAAAAAAUGUGAUUUCUGGUAUAUUGUGAAUUAUGACAUUUUAAAAUGUAUUCCAUCACUCCUCUAAAUGUAUUCAGUGGUUUCUAAAUACCAUAGUGAUUUAAAUCUAUCAUCAAUUUAAAAAAAAAAACAAGCUUUUUUUUUUAACAUUAGAUAUUUUGCAUCUUUUUCUCUCUUUUUUUUUUUUUUUUUGAGACAGACUCUCACUGUGUCACCCAGGCUGGAGUGCAGUGGCACAAUCUUGGCUCAUUGCAACUUCCACUUCCCAGGUUCAAGUGAUUCUCCUGCCUCAGCUUCCCAAGUAGCUGGGAUUACAGGCGUACGCCACCAUGCCCAGUUAACUUUUGUAUUUUUAGUAGAGACGGCGUUUCAUCAUGUUGGCUAGGCUGGUCUUGAACUCCUGACCUCAAGUGAUCUGCCCACCUUGGUCUUCCAAAGUACUGGGACUACAGGCAUGAGAAACCAAGCCCGGCCAUCUUUCUCUUUUUUACUUGAAUUCAGUCUUUUUAUUCUUCUUCCAUUCCUCUCUCUCUCUCUCUUUUUUUUUUUGAGACAGUCUCACUAUGUCACCCAGGCUGGAGUGCAGUGGCGCAAUCUCGGCUCACUGCAGCCUCUACCUCCCAGAUUCAAGCGAUUCUCCUGCCUCAGCCUCCUGAGUAGUUGGGACUACAGGUGCGUGCCACCAUGCCCGGCUAAUUUUUUUGUAUUUUUAGUAGAGAUGGGGUUUCACCAUUUUGGCCAGGAUGGUCUCAAUCUCCUGACCUCGUGAUCUGCCUGCCUUGGCCUCCCAAAGUGCUGGGAUCACAGGCAUGAACCACCGCUCCUGGCCUCUUUCUUUCUUUUCUGUUCUUUUCCAUCUGCCCUCCCCAAACAUCUCCCUCCCUACCUCCCUCCCUCCCUACUUUCCUUGCUUCCUUCCUUCCUCUCUUUCUGUUUCUCUAUUUUUCUUUUUUUCCUUCUUUUUUGAGACCAUCUCACUCUGUUGCCCAGGAUGGAAUGCAGUGGCACAAUCUUAGCUCACUACAACCUCUGCCUCCCAGGUUCAAGCAAUUCUCCUGCCUCAGCCUCCCAAGUAGCUGGGACCACAGGCAGAUGCCACCACACCAAGCUAAAGUUUUUUUUUUAUUUUUCAUAGAGACAGGGGAUCUCAUUAUGUUGCCCAAACUGGUCGUGAACUCCUGGGCUCAAGUGCUCUGCCUGCCUCGGCCUCCCAAAGUGUAGGGAUUACAGGCGUGAGCCACUGUGCACGUUGGGACUAAUAUUUUCUUAUUCGUAUUUCCAUGGCAGAAUAUUCCUCACUGCUAGAAUGAGACCAGAGGUCAAAAUCAGCUCUAUGUCUGUUUGUCAUUCUUAUGGAUAUGAGAAAUUGUGUUCACACAAGUAGAUAGGAAUGAAAGGAAUUUUGAAAUAGAAAUGCAGUUCUAAUUUUUCUAACUUCCAUAUUACGUGCCAAAAAUCACAUAAUAAUCUAUCAUAAGAUUCUCUAGUCCUCUCUCAUCUGGUGAUCUUCUUUUCCACGCUUUCUUUGCAACCCCCUCAUGUGGCCAACAUUUAGAGUAAUGUUUUCCAACUUCUUUUUCUUCAGCUCACAGUAAUAAAUACAUUUUACAUCUUGACUCCUGAAUGUAUAUGAAUUUAUAACGGAAGGUUUUAUAAUUCACUCCUUUCCCUUGCUACUUAUAAGUAAAAGUAAAAAGUUAGUAUUAAAUAUGCAUUUAAUCAUAUUUAAAUAGUCGUGCAUUGUUUAAUGACAGGGAUACAUUCUGAGAAAUGUGUUGUUAGGUGAUUUCAUCCUUGUGCAGACUCACAGAGUGCACUUAUACAAACCUAGAUCAUACAGCCUACUACACACCUAGGCUGUUUGCUAUAACCUAUUGCUCCUAGGCUAUAAACCUGUGCAGCAUGUUACUGUACUGAGUAUUGUAGGCAAUUAUAACACAAUGAUAAUAUUUGUAUACCUAAACAUAUCGAAACAUAGAAAAGGCACAGUAAAAAUACAACAUAAAAGAUUUUUUAAAAUGGUACACCUGGCCGGGUGCAGUGGCUCACACCUGUAAUACUAACACUUUGGGAGGCCAAGGCAGGUGGAUCACUUGAGGUCAGGAGUUUGAAACCAGCCUGGCCAACAUGGUGAAACUCCGUCUUUACUAAAAUACAAAAAAAUUAGCCAGUAUGGUGGCAGGCACCUGUAAUCCCAGAUACUUGGGAGAUUGAGGCAGUAGAAUCACUUGAACCUGGGAGGCGGAGGUUGCAGUGAGCCAAGAUCAUGCCACUGCACUCCAGCCUGGGCAAUAGAGCAAAACUCCAUCUCCAAACAAAAAAAAGUAUACUUGUAUAGGACACUUAUGGAGCUUGCAGGACUGGAAGUUGCUCUGGGUGAGUCAGUGAGUGGUGAAUGAAUGUGAAGACCUAGGACAAUACUGUACACUACUGUAGACUUUAUAAACACUACAUUUAGGCUACACUAAAUUUGUAAAAAAUAUUUUUCUUCAAUAGUAAAUUAACCUUAGCUUACUAUAACUUUUACUUUACAAACUUUUAAAUUAUUUAUUUAUUUUAUUUUAUUUAUUUAUUUUUUUGAGAUGGAGUCUUGCUCUGUCGCCCAGGCUAGAGUGCAGUGGCGCGAUCUCAGCUCACUGAAACCUCUGCCUCCCGGGUUCAAGUGAUUCUCCUGCCUCCGCCACGCGAUGCCUCUUCAUGGGUGGUGGAUGAAGAAACUGAACAGGGCCAUGAUCCUUAUCUGUAAUUUCCCGGCUACCACACUGCUUUGGUGGUCUUCCCUCGUCUCUUCCUGGGUAGAAACAACUACCUGGAGAUCCCAAUGUUCUUGUCAGUGCACUUUUCAUGGACUGCAGUGGUAAGACGAUGUGUUGGAUGCCCAAACACAAACCAAGAGCCCUCUACCUUCGCAAUUCCCGGUGCUGUGGAGCUGUCAGAGUUUUAACAUCUCAACCAAGCCACAUGGAUACUAUUUCCUCAGAAAAGACAAAAUUGAUCCAAGCAGAAGAGUGAACUCACCGAAGAGGACUCUCUACCCAUAACUGGGGAUGCCUCAGCCACUCACACUUACUCCAAGAUUAGUGUCACUGAUUAUGGAAAGAAUUGACUUCUUCCCCUGGUCUUGCUCAUUUUUCUAGAGCCCAGGACAAUAAAUGUGUUUUACGGCAGAGAAAAGUGAAGACGGGUGGAAUUGUGUGUGUUGAGAGAGAAGCAGAUAGGCAAUCUUACGCUUUGGCUCCUAGAUUAUGCAGGUGCCUCUUUUCUAUCAUCUCCAUAAAUCCUACCCUUACUGCGCUUCCUAUUCUGCAGGGGUAUUUUGUUGUCCGUAACAGAACUCCUCCUCUGUCUGUAAAGUUUAGGUUUUGAUAAAAAAUCCUCUUCCCUCCAGAAGCGUCUACUAAAAAUACAAAAAAAUUAGCUGGGUGUGGUGGCAUCCACCUGUAGUCCCAGUUACUCAGGAGACUGAGGCAGGAGAAUCGCUUGAAACUGGGAGGCGGAGGUCGCAGUGAGCCAAGAUCAUGCCACCGCACUCCAGCCUGGGUGAGAGUGAUACUCCGUCUCAAAAAACAAAUGAACAAUAAAAAACAAACAAAAAAGAAAUAAAUGUCUAGGGCUAGGUGCCAUGGCUCAUGCCUAUAAUCCCAGCACUUAGGGAGACAUAGGUGGGCAGAUCACUUGAGGUCAGGAUUUCGAGACCAGCUGGACAACAUGGCAAAACCCUGUCUCUGUUAAAAAUACAAAAAUUAGCCAGGUUUGGUGGCCCACACCCAUUGGGAGGCUGAGGCAUGAAAGUCACUUGAACCUGUGGAACCUGGGAGGUGGAGGUUGCAGGGAGCCAAGAUCAUGCCACUGCAGGUGAGCCUGGGUGACAGAGCAAGACUCUGUCUCAAAAAAAAAAAAAAAAAAAAAAAAAAGAGAGAGAAAGAAAUAAGUGUCUAGAAUAUUUUAAAGGCUAUGGAAAUAAAGCAGGAAUAUUUUCAUGAAAGGCAGCUUAUAAAGGAUGAGGAUGGUUUUCUCUUUAGGGUAAAGGAACUAAUAUUUAUUAAGCACUUACUAUUUAUCAGGCAGUAUGUGACAUACAAUGUAUGUGGGAGUGUGUGUGUGUCUUUCCUCACAAUUAUUUUAUAGAGUAGGGGUUAGUACAAUGAAGAUGUUGUAGCUUAGAGAGAGGAAGUGGCAAAACCAGAAUUGGAAAACAAGACUGUUGGGCUCCAAGGUCCAUGCACUUUUCCCCUUUAAAGGUCUUAGGUAAAGAGUAGACCCAUUUGGAUAGGCCCAAACUAACAGUCUAUCUCCAGAGUCCUUGUCCUAAAUUCUUUACCCCACUGCCUUCUGAGAGGAAGUUCAUCUUUUUACCAGGGAGUAGCCACCUUCAGAAGAAUUCUCCUGUCUAUAUAACCAAAUUAAUAGAAUCCUGGUAAAUCAACUGGAAUGUUAACUGUUCUGAUUUUCAACUGUUUUUACCUUCAUCAUUAAUACUGAAUAUGGACUGUAGGUUGGAUAACUGCUGUUCAAGGUAAGGAACUCUGAGCAGCAGCCUUGAGCUACCAAGGCAUUAAAUAGGAUUUUUGCUUAAAAAUCCUAUAUUUUUGCUUAAAAAUAUUAAAAAUAUGACUGAGUAUAUGUAUAUAUUCCCCCCACAUUCCAAAGAUAAACACUGUUAAGCAUGUAAAGCACAUUUUACUGUAUAUAUAUGGGUGGCAUAUGUGUGUGAGUGUGUGUGUGUAUACAUAUAUACACAUACACUUCUAGACAUUUAUAUACAUGUGUUGUGUGUAUAUGUUGUGUAUGUUUUUAAAAAGGGAUUGUCUUUGGCUGGGCACAGUGGCUCACGCCUGUAAUCCCAGCACUCUGGGAGGCUGAGGCAGGAGGAUUCCUUGAGCUCAGGGUUUUAAGAGCAGCCUGGCCAACAUGGCAAAACCCCAUCUCUACUAAAAAUACAAAAAUUAAAAAAAAGAAAUUUAUCUGGAUGUGGUGGCGCCACCUGUAAUCUCAGCUACUUGGGAGGCUGAGGCAGGAGAAUCGCUUGAAGCUGGGAGGCAGAGGUUGCAGUAAGCUGAGAUUGCUCCACUGCAUUCCAGCCUGGGUGACAGAGUGAGACCCCAUCUCAAAAAACAAAGUUGGGGCAGGGGGGGAUUUGCUAUCCUAUUAAAAAUUUUUGGAUCUUUUUUUUUAAAAACUUAAUGCUAUUUCUUGAACACCUUUACUUAAAGAAAAUAGAUAGCUAAAUAUUGCAGUGUGAAGAAAAAGGUCAAUAAAUAUUUGUUGAAUUAAUGUAACAUUUCCUUUGAUCACCAGCUGCUUCUAAUUCCCUACUUCAGGUAUUGUUGAAUACUACAUUGCUUUAGGCAAAAAGUGUUUUAUUUCUCACUGGAUCAAAAACAAUUAAGGAUGUCAUUUUCUCUUCUUCCUUUGAGUUCCAAUAAAUCUACAUUUGUUCUUGUUCCCUUGUUUAGAGGUGCAAUGGAAAAGAAGUUUGCAGAUUGUACUCCUGCCUGGUUGGAUAAACUCAUUUGAAAAUAAGCUCCUGUUUUGUGCAGAUGCAAAUUUAAAUGUGCUAUUUGUAACUAAUCACUGAUAAAAUAGAGAUUUCCAAAAUAUAUUGAGAAAAAGAGCUGCAGAAUAAUUUGCAAGUUUCAUAAAAUCAGGAAGAAUGCAUUUAAAAACUAAAGUAAGCUAGGAAGGAUGGCUCAUGCCAGUAAUCCUAGCACUUUUGGUGACUGAGGUGGGAGGAUCACUUGAGCCCAGGAGUUUAAGGCCAGCCUGUGCAACAUAGAUCUCAUCUCUACAAAAAAAUUAAAAAAUUAGCUAGAUAUGGUGGCAUAUACCUAUAGUUCCAGCUACUCAGGAGGCAGAGAUGGGAGGAUCACUUGAGCCUAGGAGGCUGAACCUGCAGUGAGUCAUGAUUGCACCACUGCAUUCUAGCUUGGAUGACACAGUGAGACCCUGUCUCAAAAUAAACAAAACAAAACAAAAAAGAAAAGAAAAACUAUGGUAGAAGUGGUAGGGGGAAUUGAGGGAAUGGGGGAAAGGAAAGGCCAAAGACUUUUUCUAUGCCUUUUAAUACUUUCUCAUUUUUGAACCAUCUGAAUAUAUAUGACUUGGGCAAAAAAAAUUUAAGCAAAAAAUAUUGCAUCUGUUUCUUUCAUUGUAACUAUGCUAAGUUUGGUGAAAAUUGUUCUUUAUUUUUAAAUUUUGUUUUCUCUUACACUAAACUAUUGUGAUGGUUAAUUUUAUGUGUUAAUUAGACUGGGCCAUGAUAUGCCCAGAUAUUUGGUCAAUCAAUAUUCUGAGUGUUCUGUGAGUGUAUUUUUGGAUGAGUUUGACUUAUUAAUAUUAUUGUUAAUAUUAUUUUUUAGACAGGGUCUCUCUCUCUGUCACCCAGGCUGGAGUGCAGUGGUACAAUCUUCGCUCACUGCAGCCUCAACCUCCUGGGCUCAAGUGAUCUUCUCACCUCAGCCUCCUGAGUAGCUGGGACUACAGGCAUGUGCUACCACACCUGGCCAAUUUUUCUAUUUUUUGUAGAGACAGGGUUUCACCAUGUUGCCCAAGCAGGUCUUGAACUCCUGGUCUCAAGCAAUCCCUCUACCUCUACUUUCCAAAGUGCUGGAAUUACAGGUGUAAGCCACCAUGCCUGGCUGAGUUUAACAUUUUUAAAUUUAAAUUUAAAUUUUUAUUUUUAUUUUUUUGAGACAGAGUUUCACUCUUGUUGCCCUGGCUGGAGUACAAUGGUGCAAUCUCGGCUCACCACAACGUCUGCCUCCAGGUUCAAGCGAUUCUCCUGCCUCAGCCUCCCAAGUAGCUGGGAUUACAGGCACCUGCCACCAGGCCCAGUUAAUUUUUGUAUUUUUAGUGGAGAUUGGGUUUCACCAUGUUGGCUAGGCUGGUCUCGAACUCCUGACCUCAGGUGAUCCACCUGCCUCAGCCUCCCAAAGUGUUGGGAUUACAGACAUGAGCCACCACGCCCGGCCUUAAAUUUUUAUUUAUAUUUUGAGGGGGUCUCAUUGUGUUGCCCAGACUGGAGUGCAAUGGCACGAUCAUGGCUCACUGCAAUCUCCACCUCCUAAGCUUGAUUCUCCUGCCUCUGCCUCCUGAGUAGCUGGAACCACAGGUCUGCA